UGGGGAAUAUUGGGCAAUGGGGGCAACCCUGACCCAGCAACGCCGCGUGAAGGAAGAAGGCCUUCGGGUUGUAAACUUCUUUGACCAGGGACGAAGAACGUGACGGUACCUGGAAAACAAGCCACGGCUAACUACGUGCCAGCAGCCGCGGUAAUACGUAGGUGGCAAGCGUUGUCCGGAUUUACUGGGUGUAAAGGGCGCGUAGGCGGGACUGCAAGUCAGAUGUGAAAUGCUGGGGCUUAACCCUGGAACUGCAUUUGAAACUGUGGUUCUUGAGUAUCGGAGAGGCAGGUGGAAUUCCUAGUGUAGCGGUGAAAUGCGUAGAUAUCAGGAGGAACACCGAUGGCGAAGGCAGGUCUCUGGGCCGCAACUGACGCUGAGGAGCGAAAGCAUGGGGAGCGAACAGG
rnacentral:rRNA from 1 species